rnacentral:rRNA from 1 species
UGGGGAAUUUUGGACAAUGGGCGCAAGCCUGAUCCAGCCAUGCCGCGUGCGGGAAGAAGGCCUUCGGGUUGUAAACCGCUUUUGUCAGGGAAGAAAUCUUCUGAGUUAAUACCUCGGGAGGAUGACGGUACCUGAAGAAUAAGCACCGGCUAACUACGUGCCAGCAGCCGCGGUAAUACGUAGGGUGCAAGCGUUAAUCGGAAUUACUGGGCGUAAAGCGUGCGCAGGCGGUUUUGUAAGACAGAGGUGAAAUCCCCGGGCUCAACCUGGGAACUGCCUUUGUGACUGCAAGGCUUGAGUGCGGCAGAGGGGGGAUGGAAUUCCGCGUGUAGCAGUGAAAUGCGUAGAUAUGCGGAGGAACACCGAUGGCGAAGGCAAUCCCCUGGGCCUGCACUGACGCUCAUGCGCGAAAGCGUGGGGAGCAAAACAGGAUUAGAUGCCCUGGGUAGUCCACGCCCUAAACGAUGUCAACUGGUUGUUGGGAAGGUUCCUUCUCAGUAACGUAGCUAACGCGUGAAGUUGACCGCCUGGGGAGUACGCCGCAAGGUUGAAACUCAAAGAAUUGACGGGGUCAUAGCUGUUUCCU